GACGAACGCUGGCGGCGUGCUUAACACAUGCAAGUCGAACGGAAAGGCCCUGCUUUUGUGGGGUGCUCGAGUGGCGAACGGGUGAGUAACACGUGAGUAACCUGCCCUUGACUUUGGGAUAACUUCAGGAAACUGGGGCUAAUACCGGAUAGGAGCUCCUGCUGCAUGGUGGGGGUUGGAAAGUUUCGGCGGUUGGGGAUGGACUCGCGGCUUAUCAGCUUGUUGGUGGGGUAGUGGCUUACCAAGGCUUUGACGGGUAGCCGGCCUGAGAGGGUGACCGGCCACAGUGGGACUGAGAUACGGCCCAGACGCCUACGGGAGGCAGCAGUGGGGAAUAUUGCACAAUGGGCGGAAGCCUGAUGCAGCAACGCCGCGUGCGGGAGGACGGCCUUCGGGUUGUAAACCGCUUUCGCCUGUGACGAAGCGUGAGUGACGGUAAUGGGGAAAGAAGCACCGGCUAACUACGU
rnacentral:rRNA from 1 species